CAGAAGAUAAUAGCAAGUCUGUGUCUAAUGAAUGGACUGAUCCAUGGGUGCUAUUUAAAUGUACCUGAAAUUGAAAAAAGAGAAGGAAAUGCAACACAACACAUGCUUAAAAUGGAUGGAGGAUGAUAUGCCUAAAAGCAUGCCUAAAGAGUUUACGCUGUAACCAAGAGGUGGAAUUCUGUGUAGAUUACAUGUCAUUUUAAAAAGAUACAGAGAAGGAAUUUGGACUUGGUGGUCAUCACAUGAAUCCCUUAAUAAAUCAAACUGCAGAGGGAAGGUAACUGGGAG